CGCAUGCGCGCCGCGAGGUCCGGCCUCGGGGUCCACCUGCGGGCGCGGCUUUUCUUCAACUUCACCGCGCCAGGCCCGCACCGCCCGGCAGUGCGGGGAUUAGCACAAGUGUGCCCACCUGCGAACUCUAGUGAUGCACAAGGUGCCUCAGGCUUGAAGCAGAGAAUUUCUGUGGUUCUGAGACUGGGUGCAGAGCUGCCCCUGUGGCUCUCAGGGGUCUGCGCCUUACCCUGAUGGCCGGGACAGAGGACAGACGCCGGCUAGAGGCUGUGGCGCUGCAGGGCCCUUCCUGACCCAUCUUCCUCCCCGUUUCUCACACUCUUUGGAGGACCUGUCAGCAGAAGAGAGGCUGUUCUGAGCAGAUUUCUCCUGCUUCCCUUCCUCAGCUUGGAAGACCAAGCCAGCUGCCAGGUGUCACGUCGGGGCGUCCUGUGUCUGUGCCCCACAGCUGGGGAGACAUACCCAAGAUGAUACGGAACAAGUUUAGGUUGUCAUUUGGGGAUUCAUUCACUGCCAAAAGAUGUCAGUAAAUCCCUUGGGGUCUCUGAAGAUGGGCCACCUUGGCUGUCGGUACUGUGGAAUGCCCAUCUAAAGACCACUGGUUAGAGAACACUAACUCUGGCCAAGGUCCCUGGGUCUGACCACCCUCGUUCACAGAGACAAGCCAGCUUUCCCAAUCAGCUUUCUUAGAAAUACAAUUGGCUGUGAUAAAAAAAAAAAAACACCUAGGUCUAAUUAAAACCACACAUCUUAAGUGUAGAACUUGGAGAGUUUUUAUGAAUUUAUGUCCCCGUGUAACUGCCACCCAGAUCCAGAUACACACGUGAUUGUAGUUGAGAGUCAAUUAGAGCCGAUUCUCCAUGGGGGAGCACCUAAGGCAGAGGUUCUCAAACUUUAACAUCGAUCAGAAUCCCCUGGAGGCCUUGUUAAAACGCAGAUUGCUGGGCCCCACCCCAGAGUUCCUGAUUCCGUAGGUGUGAGGUGGGCUGAGAAUUUGUAUUUCUAACAAGUUCCCAGGUGGUGCUGAUGCUGCUCGCCAGGACCACACUUAGAGAACGACACCCAGGCUCGGGGGUUGCCAGUAAGUGUUAGUUAAGCUGCCUGGUAUUUAUAACCACACAGAGAAGGAAAGCCCAUUAGCAGAACAAUUUUAACUAAAAUGAAUCACCCAGGUACUUAGCUGAUGGUCUUUAAAUUCUGCCAUUCUGUCAUUUGGCCCGGAAGCCUUUAAUCCAGAAUCUGUUUCCAGCAAAAGGGUCACCAAAGUUAUAAGUAUAGAUUGGAUCAGCACAUUGCUUCUUUGAGACUACUUACCAGGGAAUGAACCAGUGUGAGGAUCCAAAGAGCUUGAAAGGAUCAGCAUGCUUUUAAAAUCUGGAAGAUUCACUAUGCCCUUUUACGGUCAGAGAAGGGGUAUUGGCAAAUUGUUUUGAGAUCCUUAGAAGAUUAACCAGUCAACACCUACUAUUAGAGCAUUUUAAAUAUUUUUAAAAGGAGCACUGUUGCAUAAUAAGAAAUGUACAUUUGGUCUUUGUCCCCAGUUCCUGACACACAGUUCCUAAAACCCUGGGAACCUCUGGGGAGUGAUGUGUCUUUUGUAUGCUCAUGAGGUGGCUGGUAUCUGGAGGCCCCUAGAUGGCUUCUGGAUGGAGCUGGUCUCCAAGGCAUGAGUAAAGGGUUGGAACUUUCAGCUCUGCCACCCUCCACACCCCUGACUGGGGAAGGGAAAGAGGCUGGAGAGUGAAUUCAAUCACCAGUGGUCAAUGACUUCACAAUCUUGCCUACGUAAUUAAACCUUUGUAAAAACCCCUAAACCACAGGUUUGGAGAGCUUCCAGGUUGAUGAGAACACCAAAGUGCUGAGAGGGCGGCCUGCCCAGAGAGGGCGUGGGAGCUCUGUGUCAUACUUUGCCCUGUGCAUCUCUUGGCUGUUCUCGAGUUGUAUCCUUAUAAUAAACCAGUAAUAGUAAGUAA